rnacentral:tRNA from 1 species
UCUAAUAUGGCAGAAAAGUGCAUUGGAUUUAAGCUCCAAAUAUAAAUUUUAUUUUAUUAGAA